CUUCACCGAACCCAGCCACAACGGCUGUCCGGCGUCGCGGCCCUGGCCGUAGGUGUCCAGCAGCGCCUGCGCCUC
rfam:Streptomyces albus subsp. albus strain NRRL B-2513 B2513contig61.1, whole genome shotgun sequence.